rnacentral:rRNA from 1 species
UACGAAGGGGGCUAGCGUUGUUCGGAAUUACUGGGCGUAAAGCGCACGUAGGCGGCUUUGUAAGUUAGAGGUGAAAGCCCAGGGCUUAACCCUGGAAUUGCCUUUAAGACUGCAUCGCUCGAAUUGUGGAGAGGUGAGUGGAAUUCCGAGUGUAGAGGUGAAAUUCGUAGAUAUUCGGAAGAACACCAGUGGCGAAGGCGACUCACUGGACACAUAUUGACGCUGAGGUGCGAAAGCGUGGGGAUCAAACAGG